UUUUUAAUUGAAAUCUUGUAUGAAUGAUUGGACAAGAGAGAAACUGUCUUUAUAUUAAGGUUUGAAUUUAACUUUUAAGUGAAAAGGCUUAAAUAUUCUAAAGGGACGAUAAGACCCUAUAAAACUUUACAUUGAUAAUUAAAUAUUAUUAAAUUUUUUAUUAUAAUGAUUAUAUUUAAUUCUUUGUUAUGUUGGGGAGACAAAAUUAUAAGUUUAAUUAACUAUUUAAAAAUAAAUCAAUAAAUUAAUGAACAAUGUUAUAAUAGAUCCUUUAUAAAGACUAAAAGAUUAAGUUACUUUAGGGAUAACAGA
rnacentral:rRNA from 2 species